rnacentral:rRNA from 1 species
AUUGAACGCUGGCGGCAGGCCUAACACAUGCAAGUCGAGCGAGCGGCGGACGGGUGAGUAAUGUAUGGGGACUGCCCGAUAGAGCGGUAUAACUACUGGAAACGGUGGCUAAUACCGCAUACUAUCCGAUAACCCACAUUGGAUUAGCUAGUAGGUGGGGUAAAGGCUCACCUAGGCGACGAUCGAUAGCUGGUCUGAGAGGAUGAUCGGCCACACUGGGACUGAGACACGGCCCAGACUCCUACGGAGGCAGCAGUAGGGAAUAUUGCACAAUGGGCGAAAGCCUGAUCGAGCCAUGCCGCGUGUAUGAAGAAGGCUUUAGGGUUGUAAAGCACUUUCGGUGGGGAUGCGUUACCUGAAGAAGAAGCACCGGCUAACUCCGUGCCAGCAGCCGCGGUAAUAC